UACGUAGGGGGCAAGCGUUGUCCGGAAUCAUUGGGCGUAAAGAGCUCGUAGGCGGCUCAGUAAGUCGGGUGUGAAACCUCCAGGCUCAACCUGGAGACGCCACCCGAUACUGCUGUGGCUAGAGUCCAGUAGGGGAGUGUGGAAUUCCCGGUGUAGCGGUGAAAUGCGCAGAUAUCGGGAGGAACACCAGCGGCGAAGGCGGCACUCUGGGCUGGUACUGACGCUGAGGAGCGAAAGCGUGGGUAGCAAACAGGA
rnacentral:rRNA from 1 species